CGUGUGAGCGCUCACCCGCCCGACUCCCUCCACCCCGGCUCGCAGCCUCUCACAGGAUGGGAGGGGGAGAGCAGCCGCUGCCUUGGCAGCCGCCGGGACGCGGAGAGGCUCUCGCUUGAGCUUGGCUUGGAGGGUGGCGCCGCCAUGCUGGGGGCCGAGACCCCCUUCCCCCGCCCCAGGAGAGAAGCGUGGCCAGAGCUUGGGGAGGACCCUUCGCCGCCGGGGACCGGGGUGGAAGCCUCGGCUGGGCAGGGGAUUGCAGCCACCACCACUUCUUCUUCUUCCUCCUCUUCCUCUUCGAUGGCGCAGCGGUGGGAGGAGGAGGAGCGGCGGGGGGCGCCCCCCCUGGACAGAGACCCCCCGCGCCGGGGGGAGGCGGCCGGGGGCGAGGAGGAGCCGCUCCUCAGGGGCAUUUUCCAGCUCGGCAAGAGGAGCUGCGACGUGGUGCUCAGCGCCAGGCAGCUCCGGUGGAGCCCCAUCCAGCCCGAGAGCCGCGGGGGUGAUGCCAAUAUGAACUUACCAUGUAAAGAGGAGUUUGUUGAAAUGAAAGAUGUAUUUUCUGUAAAAUUGAAACGUCGUCGUUUUGUAGGACAGAAGAAAGGUGGUGUAUUGUUAGGUAUCACAGUUUUUGUAUGCCUGAAAAAAGAAAAUAAACUAAAGGAUUCUGCCAUCAAUUUUAAUAAUUUAAGUGAAGACCACUGCCAUUCCUGGUUUAGCUGUUUGAAGGAAAUUUUGAACGGCUUUCCAAAUAGGCCAAAGUCCCUAAAAGUAUUUGUUAACCCAAACAGUCAUAAAAGAGAAGCUACUCAUGUUUAUUAUGAACAAGUUGCACCUCUCUUUAAGCUUGCUGACAUCAAAACUGACGUCACAGUAACUGAAUAUGAAGGACAUGCUCUCUCAUUGCUUAAGGAAUGUGAACUCCACACAUUUGAUGGGGUGGUUUGUGUUGGUGGCGAUGGGUCCACCAGUGAGAUAGCUCAUGGUCUACUACUUAGAGCUCAGAUGGAUGCUGGAAGAGAUACAGAUUACAUUCUUUCACCUGUUAGAGCACCACUUCCUCUUGGCAUUAUACCAGCAGGUUCCACUAAUAUUUUGGCUCAUACUCUUCAUGGAAUCAACCAUGCAGUAACUGCAACAUUGCACAUUAUAAUGGGACAUAUACAGCCAGUGGACAUCUGCACUUUCAGUAGUCCAAGCAAGCUUCUUCGUUUUGGAUUCUCGGCUAUGUUUGGUUUUGGUGCAAGAACUCUAGCUUUGGCAGAAAAGCAUCGCUGGAUGCCCUCCAACCAGCGGAGAGAUUUUGCUGUAAUUAAAACGCUGGCAAGUCUAAAGCCAGAGGAAUGUGAGUUAUCAUUUCUACCUCUGAAAAAUUCACUGCAGGGCUCCCAGGAGAAUGUUACAAAGAAGAAAGAAAGACUUAAAAAAUCUGACAGCAAGGUUCAGUGGCACAUGAUUCAAGGUCACUUCCUGAAUGUGAGCAUUAUGGCAAUCCCCUGUCUAUGUUCAAUGGCACCAAGAGGCUUGGCACCUAAUACCAGGGUGAAUAAUGGUAGCAUGGCUCUUAUUGUUGUACGAAACACUUCUCGAUCAGAGUUUAUAAAACAUCUGAAAAGAUAUGCCAGUGUAAAAAAUCAGUUUAAUUUUCCCUUUGUUGAGACCUAUGCAGUUCAGGAAGUAAAAGUCCAGCCAAGAGCUAAAAUUGGGCAUGACGCAGAAGAAAAUGUGUAUUUGCAUGCUAUUUCUGCGGAAGGGAAUUAUCCUUGGAAUAUAGAUGGAGAUUUAAUGGAAGGAGCAUCAGAGGUUCACGUUCGAGUUAACCAAAUGUGUGGUGCCAUACAACAGAACUUGUUCAAUUGUGGACAGUUAGUACUACUUGAGGAUGGUUAAGGAAUGGAAAUACACGAACACACACAGUUGAACAAUCCCUGGAAUGGAAAGGGGAGUUGUCUUAUUCUCCAACAACAGCACUGUGGCCAACCAAAAACAUAGAACUGAUGGGUGCACCCACAACUUAUUAAUCUUUAUGGAGUGAGCAUUGAUGAACUGGAUGAUUCCAAAGCAAUGUGCAGUUGUCUAUAGAAGAAAUUUAUGAAGAAAUGUGUUUCAUGGUGCAGGCUACACAGCUAUUUAAGGCCCAUUCCUUCAUCCACUGAAGUCAAUGGAUGAAGGACCAAGAUUGAAAUUAGGAUGUUUAUAUAAAACUAACAAAAAAAAUUAUCAAGUAAAAUAAUUGUAAUUAUCGAACAAAAUGUUUAUAGUUUUUAACCUUAAAAAGCCUGAAAAUAAAUAUAUUGACAAAUAUACUUAUUUGUAGGUGGUAUAUAUUGGAUUAAAAAGUGAUUACUAGAAUUUCAGCAAAAAAAAUUUUAAGUUUUUUAAACAGAAUAUUGCAGGGUUUGAGUUCAAUUUGGGGUUUGAUUUGGUUACCCUUCGUUGUAUCUAGUCAUAUUUUACUUCACUGGUAACCCUAAUUCAUAUCACUAUAACUAGUCCUGGAGUAAAGUACUACUUACUGUGAGUUGUGGUGGCAUAAUUUGGCUUCUGUCACGUCCUUCAAUAUCCAGAUAAUCUCUGACCUUAAAUGAGAUGAUGUAAAAAUGUGCUUGCUUUCAGCAUUGACUAGUUAAGUCUUAAGCUACUUUUCCUUUUACAAAUAGUGUAUUCACUUAGAAUGUAACAUUUGUUCAAACUUACUUUGUUUUAAACUUUAAUCUUGUAGAAAAUAUUUAACGUUUACUUUAUCAGUAAAACUAGGUAGUAAUCAGAAUAAUGCAUUAUUUUUUGCUAGAGUAUGGCAGCAAUGCUGAGUAAAAUUUAAUUUUAGAUUUUGAGUGAUACUUUCAUAGUGCACAUAUUUUAAGUAGAAAGUAGGUAUGUAAACAGAUUAAUUUUAUAAAUUACAUGGUAAAUGCAAUAAUUAUGCAUGACACUGGUACAGAUUAGGUUUCCAGCCUUCAUGAGAAUUGAACUUGUCAUGGCACCAUGGCUAUCCCCUGCAUUGCGAUUGGUGGGAACUAACAUCUUGACAGAUUUGUCAGCGUGCUUGACCUGCAGGAGCAAGAGCUUAGAUGUGGGUGUGCCCUUAUUCAUUAGGUUAAAGAUAUGAGGCAUCCCAACUAGGGCUGAGAGAGGAACUCUGCAUUUCCCUGUGACUAAACCACAGAUGACGUUGCCCAUUGGUCUUUAAGGACUCAAUUCAUUAAGCAUUUAAGUCAUGGGGAUUUCACUAUGUGCCUAAGUCUUUGCUGAACUAGAGCCCAAGUAUUUAAAUGGGAUUAGUGAGGACUAUAGGAACACACCAGAAGUUUGGUUCAUAUUUUUAAUAAGCAUUAUACCUCAACCUUAAAUCAAAAAAUUAGUAUGGAUAUUUUCUUUCUUCCUCCACUCCCUUAACAAGUAGCAUCAGCAAAUGAUUAUUCAUCUUCAAAAAAACAAAAGAGCAGAUUACAUAGAACCAAAUUCUGUCUUCAUACUCACAUUAACAUCAGUGGAACUGCAGGGAAGGCACCUGUGGGCAGAAUUUGGCCUGUAGUAACUGGCCAAAUAAUCUGCAGUAUAGUGGAUUACAAAGUAAAUCCAGUGGACCAAAUUCUGCUCUCUAUUACAGUGGUGUAAAACGAAAGUCACUAGUUACUUGAACGGCACUACUCCAGAUUUGUGCCACUAUAACCGAGAGUAAUUUGAUGCUGUAUAAUUAAUCCAGAAGCAUUAAAGUACUGUGCUUGAGUAGUGAAAACUGAAUUUCUUCUUUAAUUCUUUAAAGAUAUUCCAUCUUCAUAAACCAUUAUUAUAGAUUUAACUGUAUUUUAUUACCUCUGCAAAUUCUAUCAACAAAAUA